rnacentral:rRNA from 1 species
CGUACUUGAUUCAAAUGCGAUGUGGGGACGGAGAAGGUUAUGCUGGCAAGCUGUUGGAAUAGCUUGUUUAAGCCGGUAGGUGGAAAGGGUAGGUAAAUCCGCCCUUUUAUUAACACCGAGAAGUGAUGACGAGUAUCUACGGAUAUGAAGCAGCAAAUACCACGCUUCCAGGAAAAGCCACUAAGCUUCAGUUUGAAUCGAACCG